UACAGAGGGGGCAAGCGUUGUUCGGAAUUACUGGGCGUAAAGGGCGCGUAGGCGGCCUUCUAAGUCGAACGUGAAAUCCCCGGGCUCAACCCGGGAACUGCGUCCGAUACUGGGAGGCUUGAAUCCGGGAGAGGGAUGUGGGAAUUCCAGGUGUAGCGGUGAAAUGCGUAGAUAUCUGGAGGAACACCGGUGGCGAAGGCGGCAUCCUGGACCGGUAUUGACGCUGAGGCGCGAAAGCCAGGGGAGCAAACGGG
rnacentral:rRNA from 1 species